rnacentral:rRNA from 1 species
UGGCGAACGGGUGAGUAACACGUGGGUAAUCUGCCCUGCACUCUGGGAUAAGCCUGGGAAACUGGGUCUAAUACUGGAUAUGACCUUUCUCCUUAUGGGGUUUGGUGGAAAGUUUUUCGGUGUAGGAUGAGCCCGCGGCCUAUCAGCUUGUUGGUGGGGUGAUGGCCUACCAAGGCGACGACGGGUGGCCGGCCUGAGAGGGUGAUCGGCCACAUUGGGACUGAGAUACGGCCCAG